GAUGAACGCUGGCGGCGUGCCUAAUACAUGCAAGUCGAACGAGGUGCUUUUGUAGCAAUACGAAAGUAUCCUAGUGGCGAACGGGUGAGUAACGCGUUGGUGACCUACCCCAAAGUGUGGGAUAACAGUCCGAAAGGAUUGCUAAUACCGCAUGUGGUUAUCGGGUUUAGAAACCGAUAACUAAAGGAGCAAUUCGCUUUGGGAGGGACCUGCGUCCCAUCAGCUAGUUGGUGAGGUAAUGGCUCACCAAGGCUACGACGGGUAGGGGACC
rnacentral:rRNA from 1 species